rnacentral:rRNA from 1 species
GAUGAACGCUGGCGGCGUGCCUAAUACAUGCAAGUCGAGCGAACAGAUGAGGAGCUUGCUCCUCUGACGUUAGCGGCGGACGGGUGAGUAACACGUGGAUAACCUACCUAUAAGGCUGGGAUAACUUCGGGAAACCGGAGCUAAUACCGGAUAAUAUAUUGAACCGCAUGGUUCAAUAGUGAAAGACGGUUUUGCUGUCACUUAUAGAUGGAUCCGCGCCGCAUUAGCUAGUUGGUAAGGUAACGGCUUACCAAGGCAACGAUGCGUAGCCGACCUGAGAGGGUGAUCGGACAGACUGGCACUGAGAAACGGUCCAGACUCUGACAGGAGGCAGCAGCAGGGACUCUUCCGCAAUGGGCGAAAGCCUGACGGAGCACCGCCGCGUGAGUGCUGAAGGUCUUAUGAUCGUAAAACUAUGUUAUCCGGGAAGAACAAAUGUGUAAGUACCUAUGCACAUCAUGACGGUACCUAAUCAGAAAGCCACGGCUAACUCCGUG